GACGAACGCCGGCGGCGUGCUUAACACAUGCAAGUCGAACGGUGAAAGCGGAGCUUGCUCCGCUGGAUCAGUGGCGAACGGGUGAGUAACACGUGGGCAACCUGCCCCUCACUUCGGGAUAACUCCGGGAAACCCGGGCUAAUACCGGAUAUGACCUCCUUGGGCAUCCUACGAGGUGGACAGUUUUUCGGUGAGGGUUGGGCCCGCGGCCUAUCAGCUUGUUGGUGAGGUAGUGGCUCACCAAGGCGACGACGGGUAGCCGGCCUGAGAGGGAGACCGGCCACACUGGGACUGAGACACGGCCCAAACUCCUACGGGAGGCAGCAGUGGGGAAUAUUGCGCAAUGGGCGAAAGCCUGACGCAGCAACGCCGCGUGCGGGAUGACGGCCUUCGGGUUGUAAACUGCUUUCAGCAGGGAAGAAGCCGCAAGGUGACGGUACCUGCAGAAGAAGCACCGGCUAACUACGUGCCAGCCGCCGCGGUAA
rnacentral:rRNA from 1 species